rnacentral:rRNA from 1 species
UACGGAGGGUGCAAGCGUUAUCCGGAGUUACUGGGCGUAAAGCGCAUGUAGGCGGAUGGACAAGUUGGUUGUGAAAGCGCCCGGCUAAACUGGGCGAGGCCGAUCAAGACUGUUUAUCUCGAGAGUGAUAGAGGGGCGCAGAAUUCGGGGUGUAGCGGUGAAAUGUGUAGAGAUCCCGAGGAAUACCAGUGGGGAAGCCGGCGCCCUGGGUCAUAUCUGACGCUGAGAUGCGAAAGCGUGGGGAGCGAACGGG